rnacentral:lncRNA from 1 species
ACAGAGACCCCCCCCACACACACAAAACCUCUCUCUCUCUCCAUAUUCAACUCUCUUCCUUCUCUCCUAAUUUUCUCUCCCAAACUUCAUCUAUUUUAGAAUCUGAUCAUACCACGCUAUAGCAGAGGAGUUAAGGAACAUUUCUACCCGAUCAGAUUUUCAAACAGAGUAAGUUCAUUUUUACUCUAAAUAUCCUUUGUUCUCUGUUUUUCCUUAGGAUUUAGUCAUCAAUCUUGGUGGGGUCAGUUGAGAAGUUUAAUCCUCUCAACUUAUUCUAUUAUAUACUGAAUUUUUGUUCUGUUUGGAUAAUUUGCAUUAGGCCCGUAAAUCUUGAAGCUUAUCCAAACGGUGGGGAAUAAAAUUCUAAAAGUUGCUUGGAAAGCAAGCAAUUGAGGUAAGGGAAGCUAAAUUUAAUUUUUAAUAGCACCCUAGGAUAGAAGAUCUGAAUGCGGAAGGGACGUGGUCCCAAUAUUCAAUUUUUCUUGCAGGGAUGUUGUGUGUUUAUUUAUAUUGGGUUGUUUGUUUAUAUAUUAUUUAAAUUUAUGAAAUAUUGGGUUUUGAUGAUUUAGUAUUAAAGUGUUAUUUUUUUAUGUCAAAUAAACUUUUGAAUAUUGUGGAUAACUUUUUGAAUGAUAUUGUAUGACAAAAUGGUAUGGAAUUGAAUUCAUACAUUUGGGAUAAUGUAUGGACUGAUGUUCGUUGUGUAUUAAGUAUUGAUGUCGGGAUAAUGUAUGGACUAAUAUUUGUUGUGUAUUAAGUAUUGAUGCCUAUGUGGUAACAGAGAUCUCCGAGCUUCACUGAUGAUCUAAGUCACAUAGACUAAGAUAUCAGGUGGUGAGAAGCUGAUGGGGGAGUUCAUGCACACCGUGACAUAUGAGAUGCACGGCUUGGGUUGUAUUGAACUUACCCUUAUCCUUUCUGUUGGAUUCGCUGGUAAUCUUUGGAUCAGGUGUUAGUCUCUGGUAGGACUUACUUAAUACGGGUCUUCCGGAAGACGUUGUUUGUUGAAUAUUCUGGAUGUGUAGAUCCAUGUGAGAUCUACGUGAUUGAUUUAUGUUGGAAUUUGAAGAAGAUUGAAUAUUUGAGAAAUUGGUCAUGUAAUUUGAUUUUCUCUUUUAAUUUAAUUUCAUAUAUUAUAAAAUUCUAUUUUCACUAGCUUACCCUUGCUUUUCUUGUUGUGUUUGAACUGCGAUGACUGUACUACGUACACGAGCAGAUGAUCUUACAGGUGUCUGAGGAUCAGAAGAGUUUUAGGGCGUUGAUUAUGAAACUUAUAUUGUAAAUAUUUUUAUUUCUAUAUGUCCUAAUCAUGAAUUAGGAAUGUUUUGAAAAACUUUGUGCUUGUAUAGAAAUAAGUAGAAUCUGUAUUGUAAUAGUUAGAUGUGUUUUUCCGGGGUGUUACAUGCAGGGAUAAUUUGCAUUAAUUUUUUUUAUUUUUUUAUAGAAA